CGUUGUUGCCAUUUUCAGAUCGUUAGGUCGAUCGGCAGGGCCGAAUUCAUUUCCAUUCGACAUUCGACAAACUGGCUCUCAUCAUCACACACAUUUUAUAUUCCAGUGCUAUCACAAUAGCAAUACUAAAUAGCUUUAUUUUGACUUUGGGUUCGUGUGUGCCGCUCUCCACUCACGUCGCACUCGGCGCUCAGUCUGAAUGACGAGACUCUAUAAAUUAGAAGAGAAUCUCAACAGAGUUCAACACGAGUUGAUUUACACGAUUUUAUCGCGCACCUGCUGUGGUGAAUUCGAUUUUCAAAUCGCCGGCCGGCAAUUCAAAUCAUAAACAAUAACAAUAUUAUUUGUGGAAUGUUAAUCGAUUUCUAAUUACUAUUAAUAUUUGACAGCAUGGACCAAAUGUAGCAGUUAUGGAGCCAAAAUUAAACCUAAAAAAUCAGUGUGAAGAAAAUAUGCUACUAUAACAUGGAUCACACCAUAACUUUUAUUCAUACCUUUAUAAAUCAAAUCAAUUUUAAUUCUCAUUUUUAAUUUUGAUUUUAAAGAUA